UUGAACGCUGGCGGCAGGCCUAACACCUGCAAGUCGAGCGGAUGAAGGGAGCUUGCUCCUGGAUUCAGCGGCGGACGGGUGAGUAAUGCCUAGGAAUCUGCCUGGUAGUGGGGGAUAACGUCCGGAAACGGGCGCUAAUACCGCAUACGUCCUGAGGGAGAAAGUGGGGGAUCUUCGGACCUCACGCUAUCAGAUGAGCCUAGGUCGGAUUAGCUAGUUGGUGGGGUAAAGGCUUACCAAGGCGACGAUCCGUAACUGGUCUGAGAGGAUGAUCAGUCACACUGGAACUGAGACACGGUCCAGACUCCUACGGGAGGCAGCAGUGGGGAAUAUUGGACAAUGGGCGAAAGCCUGAUCCAGCCAUGCCGCGUGUGUGAAGAAGGUCUUCGGAUUGUAAAGCACUUUAAGUUGGGAGGAAGGGCAGUAAGUUAAUACCUUGCUGUUUUGACGUUACCAACAGAAUAAGCACCGGCUAACUUCGUG
rnacentral:rRNA from 1 species